AUAAUGAUUUCAGAAUUGGUAAACCUUGAAUCUGGAAGGUGGUCUUCCCAGGGUGAGGCUCAUCCAUUACACUCCGGGUGUGCUGACCCCUGUGAUUUCCCCAAAUGCGGGAAACUCGACUGCAUAAUUUAUAUUUUGUAUGGAAAGCUUUUGUAUUUUUCUUAC